UACGUAGGGGGCUAGCGUUGUCCGGAUUUAUUGGGCGUAAAGAGCGUGUAGGCGGCCAUGUAGGUCCGGUGUGAAAACUCGAGGCUUAACCUCGAGAUGUCAUCGGAAACCAUUUGGCUAGAGUCCGGAAGAGGAGAGUGGAAUUCCUGGUGUAGCGGUGAAAUGCGCAGAUAUCAGGAAGAACACCAAUGGCGAAAGCAGCUCUCUGGGACGGUACUGACGCUGAGACGCGAAAGCGUGGGGAGCGAAGCAGG
rnacentral:rRNA from 1 species